CCGGUUCCGGUUCACGCCCGAGUCCGUCGCGCGUAGCGGCGGGUGGCGACGGCGACCCGGCGACC
rfam:Micromonospora echinaurantiaca strain DSM 43904 genome assembly, chromosome: I